UGUUUUUGUAUUUCCUUCUGUACUGUGCUCUUGAUUGGUGAAUCUUGAAACAAGCCGCCACUGGAAACUCCAGCCCUGUCCACCAGCAGGACCAACCCAACCCGACCCUACUUUGUGGCUCCCCCAAACCAACAGGUCUGCCUUACCUGUGGCCUCGACACCACAACAACAUUUUUAAAAAAGAAAGGGAGGUUCGAGACAUUGAAACGCUUCCAUAAGAUGAAUGAGAAGAAGAGCAGGAAGAGGAAAAGGCCAUAUGAUCCAGGAGAAGGCCCAAGGAUCAAACGGAGGAGAAUCUGGCCCUAGUGACGUUUGUAUUUCAUGUUAUUACAUAUACUUCUUGUUAUUAUAUAUCCAAGUCAACUUGUAAAAAAUCCCCCUCCCCUUGGCCUCGUGUGGAGGGGAGGGAGUUUGUCCCAGCUCUGCCCCGCACAAGGCCCAAGAAGCGGGCCGAUUGGCUCCCUUGAAAUUGGAGGCGUGGUCUGGGCCGUAACUGGCCGAUCCACGCCCCAAGUUCUUCAGUUUUGCUUUGGCAAUCCCCUCCCUCCCUUCCUUCCCUGAUGCAGAGUGGGUCUAGCGGCUGGUCGCCCACGGGGGCCGAGUAGGAAUUUUUUGCUCUCAACACAUUGGCCACUGUUGGGGUUUUUUUCGCCUACUCCGUUCUAUACUCAGGCGUUUAGUUAGAGUUAGAGUUGGCAGUAACAGUGCGGGCUGAGGGGUAAGUUGAGGGUUAGAAUAUUGGUGAGCACCCUUGGAUCUUUAAAGGUUGAUUGGUCAAUUGCUCCUUUGUGGCCUGUGCAGCACGGGGAGAAUGGAUUGCCAUGAAACCUGCUUCAGGACUUCACCAACCUUUGGGCUGUGCAGUCCAGGGUGGGUGAAGACCUUGAAGUAUCCAGAUCCCCUCUGCUAAAGGGGGCGGUUGGCUUUGAAGGAAUUAGGCGGGGCGUACCUGCCUGUUUCCUGAGCCAGGGUGUGUCGCCCAGUGAGGCGAUGGGUAGGACGUUAGAGUCCUAGCCCGAGCCUAGGGGCCUGCACUGUUCUCUA